rnacentral:rRNA from 1 species
UACGGAGGGGGCUAGCGUUGUUCGGAAUUACUGGGCGUAAAGGGCACGUAGGCGGCUUUGUAAGUUAGAGGUGAAAGCCCGGGGCUCAACUCCGGAAUUGCCUUUAAAACUGCAUCGCUAGAAUUGUGGAGAGGUGAGUGGAAUUCCGAGUGUAGAGGUGAAAUUCGUAGAUAUUCGGAAGAACACCAGUGGCGAAGGCGACUCGCUGGACAGAUAUUGACGCUGAGGUGCGAAAGCGUGGGGAGCAAACAGG